rnacentral:rRNA from 1 species
AGGACGAACGCUGGCGGCGUGCUUAACACAUGCAAGUCGAGCGGAAAGGCCCUUCGGGGUACUCGAGCGGCGAACGGGUGAGUAACACGUGAGUAAUCUGCCCCUAGCUCUGGGAUAGCUCCGGGAAACCGGGAUUAAUACCGGAUACGACUGCUACGGACAUCUGUGGUGGUGGAAAGAACUUCGGCUAGGGAUGAGCUCGCGGCCUAUCAGCUUGUGGUGGGUAACGCCUACCAAGGCGACGACGGGUA